rnacentral:rRNA from 1 species
ACAGUCACACAUUAGAUACCCCUGUAGUCCCAGCCCUAAACGAUGCGCGUUAGGUGUAUCGGUGACCACGAGUCACCGAGGUGCCGAAGGGAAACCGUGAAACGUGCCGCCUGGGAAGUACGGUCGCAAGGCUGAAACUUAAAGGAAUUGGCGGGGAGCACCACAACGGGUGGAGCCUGCGGUUUAAUUGGACUCAACGCCGGGAAGCUCACCGGAUAAGACAGCGGAAUGAUUGCCGGGCUGAAGACCCUGCAUGACCAGCUG